rnacentral:lncRNA from 9 species
AUGGGCUUCAAAAACCACAGCAGACGCUGAAUCCAAGAAGGAAAAUCCCCAGCCCUGCCCUGGAAGUGAAGAUAGAGACUCAGAAAUCAGAGAUCGUGUCGUGGGGAGUUCCCGUGGUGGCUCAGCGGUAAUGAACCCGACCAGUAUCCAUGAGGACGAGGGUUCGAUCCCUGGCCUCACUCAGUGGGUUAAGAAUCUGGUGCUGCCAUGAGCUGGGGUGUAGGUCGCAGACAUAGCUUGGAUCCAGCAUUGCUGUGGCUGUGGUGUAGGCCGGCAGCUAUAGCUCUGAUUGGACCCCUAGCCUGGGAACUUCCACCUGCCAUGGGUGAGGCCCUAACAAGACCAAAAAAAAAAAAAAAAAAUUCAUGUUGUGAAACCUGUCACCUGCAUAUCACUUUGAAAUCUGGUGCUGAACCUGGGCCCCAGCCCAGGUGAUCACAGCUGCUCGGUCCUGUCUCCUGGAGACAUGGACAGAGCCGUGGGCAGCUGCUGGGUCCGGACUGGGAAACCCAGGUAGGGCGGGGCUCCGGGCAGAGCUGUGGCCUGGGAGCGACAGAGCAGGUGUGCGAGCCUCUAAUGGGUGCAUCGGAGGAGCAAGGUCAGCGCCCUGCCAGUGGAAGGUCACAGCGGCUGUCGCUGAUACAACACCAGAGGGCUAGAAGAUUCUCCUGUCUCGUUCCCACUUCCUCCCACCCGAGAGCGGGCGUCCAGACAGAGCACUGUCUCCACCCACAGCGCAGGUGGUUCCAUGGAUGGUUUCGCGAAUCAGUGCUUUUGCAGGAAGUUUUACAAAAGUGGAAAAAUCAGAUGCAUCUGUCCCAGAGGGCUUUCUGCUGCUGCUGCAAACCCGGGGCUGUUAGGCAGAACAGAGGUGGGGAAGUAAAACCCGCCCCUGCCUCUCAGAGGCGGCUUUGCUUUUCUCAAGGCGGGAGGGGAGAAGAAGAGCCGUUACGUCUGCCGGUGCCAGCACCACCCAGCCAGCUGGGCUCAGGGCUGGUGGCUGGCCACGUGGAUGUGUGCAGGGUAGGACCUGUCACUGCUACCAAAAGCACAGGUUCAGGUUCGGCGAGGCUGAGGUUUGGUGGGAAACCACGCCCCGGGUCUCCCCUCUGGCAGCGCCUGCUGUCUGGCUGCCUGGAAGGUUUUAAGCCACGUGUUAGCAGCUCUUGGAGAUGCCGGCACAGGGAAGGAGUCCUCCGUUAG